rnacentral:rRNA from 1 species
UUUUCAAUCAUCGUAGCUUGCUACACCGAUUGAAAAUUGAGUGGCGAACGGGUGAGUAACACGUGGGUAACCUGCCCAAAAGAGGGGGAUAACACUUGGAAACAGGUGCUAAUACCGCAUAACCAUGAUGACCGCAUGGUCAUUAUGUAAAAGAUGGUUUCGGCUAUCACUUUUGGAUGGACCCGCGGCGUAUUAACUUGUUGGUGGGGUAACGGCCUACCAAGGUGAUGAUACGUAGCCGAACUGAGAGGUUAAUCGGCCACAUUGGGACUGAGACACGGCCCAAACUCCUACGGGAGGCAGCAGUAGGGAAUCUUCCACAAUGGGCGCAAGCCUGAUGGAGCAACGCCGCGUGAGUGAAGA